ACGAGUUCCUGUUUCAAACAGGAAGUUUCAUACAGGAAGUCCCUUCAGAAACAAGAUGCUGCUGCCCACCUGAGGGGACAAACACAGCAUUCUGGUAAGACUGCUACAAUGAGAUUUCUGGACUCACAGGACCCCAGGAUGUGAGUCUGCAUCAGAGGGAGGCCUGCAGCCUUCAACUCCAUCAGCCUGCUCUCCUCACUCUUAGCUUCCUUCUUCCUGUCUCUUUCUUCCACUGUUUCUCCCUGCCCCUCUUUCUCCUCCUCUCUCCCUUUUCUUCACUUCCUCCACUGACAUGGGACCUGAGUUCCACAGUCACAGAUGAGGAAAGAAGGCACUGAGCAGUUGAGUUCUGCCUGGGCGUGACACUGAACCAGGAUUUGGGCAAGGGUGCUGUCUCCAGAGCCUGAACAUCCUUAUACUUUGUACUCAG